rnacentral:lncRNA from 1 species
AUCAGAGUAUAAAACAGUAAAAGACUUACAGAAUUAAAAUCUUUAUUCCAUAAAACCCGAAGGUGAAUUACAGACCAAAGGGAUAAGUACAAGGAGAGAGAUAGAAGGAGAGAGUGCAGUGCCUAAAUUUUCUAGAGUGGAAAAUUGGACCUGCCUUCUUAAUACACUCGAGAGUCUUUAUAUAUACCUCUGACAAAAGAAGAGUGAAUCUCUUACUAACAAGUGGACGGCUCAGAUGUUGCCGACAAAAGAUAGUGGG